GCACAGGUAGCCAAGCGGUAAGGCGACUGGUUGCAACCCAGUUAUCGUCGGUUCAAAUCCGGCUCUGUGCU
rnacentral:tRNA from 1 species